CUCUCUGUAGCUCAGUCGGUUAGAGCGUUGCACUGGAAUCGCAGGACUGUGUGGACUGCAGGUUCGAUUUCUGCCAGAGGGC